rnacentral:ncRNA from 1 species
ACACAGGUGUGCGAGAUGAGUAUUCUAAGGCGCGCGAGAUAACUUUCGUUAAGGAACUCGGCAAAUUAUCCCCGUAACUUCGGAAGAAGGGGAGCCUCUUAGGGUGAUUGCCUUUACGGCAUGAGCUCCGGGGGGCCGCAGAGAAAUGGCCCAGGCGACUGUUUAACAAAAACACAGCACUAUGCAAACCUCUAAGGGGAAGUAUAUGGUGUGACGCCUGCCCAAUGCCAAAAGGUUAAAGGGAUAUGUCAGCCGCAAGGCAAAGCAUUGAACCCAAGCCCUGGUGAAUGGCCGCCGUAACUAUAACGGUGCUAAGGUAGCGAAAUUCCUUGUCGGGUAAGUUCCGACCUGCACGAAUGGUGUAACGAUCUGGGCACUGUCUCAACNNNNNNNNNNNNNNNNNNNNNNNNNNGUGAAAUUGUAGUAGCAGUGAAGAUGCUGUUUACCCGCAAAAGGACGAAAAGACCCCGUGAACCUUUACUGUACUUUGGUAUUGAUUCUUGAUUUGUUAUGUGUAGCAUAGCCAGGAGACUGAGAACACUCUUCGUCAGGAGAGUGGGAGUCAUCGUUGAAAUACUGGUCUUAACAAGUUGGGAAUCUAACAUAAUUCCAUGAAUCUGGAAUAUGGACAUUGCCAGACGGGCAGUUUUACUGGGGCGGUAUCCUCCUAAAAAGUAACGGAGGAGCCCAAAGCUUAUUUCAUCGUGGUUGGCAAUCACGAGUAGAGCGUAAAGGUAUAAAAUAGGUUGACUGCAAGACCUACAAGUCAAGCAGAGACGAAAGUCGGGCUUAGUGAUCCGGCGGUGGAAAGUGGAAUCGCCGUCGCUUAACGGAUAAAAGGUACUCCGGGGAUAACAGGCUGAUCGCCACCAAGAGUUCAUAUCGACGUGGCGGUUUGGCACCUCGAUGUCGGCUCAUCGCAUCCUGGGGCUGGAGAAGGUCCCAAGGGUUUGGCUGUUCGCCAAUUAAAGCGGUACGCGAGCUGGGUUCAAAACGUCGUGAGACAGUUUGGUCUCUAUCCUUUGUGGGCGCAGGAUACUUGAAAGGAGCUGUUCCUAGUACGAGAGGACCGGAAUGGACGAACCAAUGGUGUGUCGGUUGUUUUGCCAAAAGCAUAGCCGAGUAGCUACGUUCGGAAAGGAUAAGCAUUGAAAGCAUCUAAAUGCCAAGCCUCCCUUAAGAUAAGGUAUCCCUAUGAGACUCCAUAUAGACUAUGUGGUUGAUAGGUUGGGUGUGUACGCACAGUAAUGUGUUUAGCUAACCAAUACUAAUAAGUCCAUUGACUUGGUUUU